rnacentral:sRNA from 1 species
AGUGUCAUUUCAUGCUGUGUCACUGCACCACUUAAAAUCUUCACCCGGAGACUAUGUCCCACACAUGGGGAAAUCAAUCACCGUCAUAUUUUAAGUGCUUGCUGUGUGACAGCCACGAUUACAAUGACUGUUACUCUACCUCUUAUUCUCACUGUAGUGUUCCCAGUGAAGCGGCGGAACCGGCACAGCCUAGUGGGGCCUCAGCAGCUAGGAGGACGGCCAGCCCCUGUCCGACGGAGCAACACGAUGCCCCCCAACCUUGGCAAUGCAGGGCUGCUGGGCCGAAUGCUGGAUGAGAAAACCCCUCCCUCACCCUCAGGUACGUUUCUAUCUCGUGGAAGGUUGGGGCAGCUGUGGGGUCCCUGUGACCCUCUUCUGAUCCCUACUCUUCCCCUCAAGGACAACCUGAGGAGCCGGGGAUGGUGCGCCUGGUGUGUGGACACCAUAACUGGAUCGCUGUGGCCUAUACCCAGUUUCUAGUCUGCUACAGGUUGAAGGAAGCCUCUGGCUGGCAGCUGGUGUUUUCCAGCCCCCGCCUGGACUGGCCCAUCGAACGACUGGCGCUCACAGCCCGGGUGCAUGGUGGGGCUUUGGGUGAACAUGACAAGAUGGUGGCAGCAGCCACCGGCAGCGAGAUCCUGCUAUGGGCUCUGCAGGCGGAAGGCGGUGGCUCCGAGAUAGGGGUCUUUCAUCUGGGGGUGCCUGUGGAGGCCUUGUUCUUCGUCGGGAACCAGCUCAUUGCUACAAGCCACACGGGGCGCAUCGGGGUGUGGAAUGCCGUCACCAAGCACUGGCAGGUCCAGGAGGUGCAGCCCAUCACCAGUUAUGACGCGGCAGGCUCCUUCCUCCUCCUGGGCUGCAACAACGGCUCCAUUUACUACGUGGAUGUGCAGAAGUUCCCCUUGCGCAUGAAAGACAACGACCUCCUUGUCAGCGAGCUCUAUCGGGACCCAGCGGAGGAUGGGGUCACCGCCCUCAGUGUCUACCUCACCCCCAAGACCAGUGACAGUGGGAACUGGAUCGAGAUCGCCUAUGGCACCAGCUCAGGGGGCGUGCGGGUCAUCGUGCAGCACCCGGAGACUGUGGGCUCGGGGCCUCAGCUCUUCCAGACCUUCACUGUGCACCGCAGCCCCGUCACCAAGAUCAUGCUGUCGGAGAAGCACCUCAUCUCAGUCUGUGCCGACAACAACCACGUGCGGACAUGGUCUGUGACUCGCUUCCGCGGCAUGAUUUCCACCCAGCCCGGCUCCACCCCACUCGCUUCCUUUAAGAUCCUGGCUCUGGAGUCGGCAGAUGGGCAUGGCGGCUGCAGUGCUGGCAAUGACAUUGGCCCCUACGGUGAGCGGGACGACCAGCAAGUGUUCAUCCAGAAGGUGGUGCCCAGCGCCAGCCAGCUCUUUGUGCGUCUCUCAUCUACUGGGCAGCGGGUGUGCUCCGUGCGCUCCGUGGACGGCUCACCCACGACGGCCUUCACAGUGCUGGAGUGCGAGGGCUCCCGGCGGCUCGGCUCUCGGCCCCGGCGCUACCUGCUCACCGGCCAGGCCAACGGCAGCUUGGCCAUGUGGGACCUAACCACCGCCAUGGACGGCCUCGGCCAGGCCCCUGCAGGUGGCCUGACGGAGCAAGAGCUGAUGGAACAGCUGGAACACUGCGAGCUGGCCCCGCCAGCUCCCUCAGCUCCCUCAUGGGGCUGUCUCCCCAGCCCCUCACCCCGCAUCUCCCUCACCAGCCUCCACUCAGCCUCCAGCAACACCUCCUUGUCUGGCCACCGUGGGAGCCCAAGCCCCCCGCAGGCUGAGGCCCGGCGCCGUGGUGGGGGCAGCUUUGUGGAACGCUGCCAGGAACUGGUGCGGAGUGGGCCAGACCUCCGACGGCCACCCACACCAGCCCCUUGGCCCUCCAGCGGUCUCGGCACUCCCCUCACACCUCCCAAGAUGAAGCUCAAUGAAACUUCCUUUUGAACAACGCAACUGCCAUGAUGCCUUGGGAUGCCCUGGUCCUGGGGGACUCAGGUGCCUCCCUGAUUCCUGUGGGAACCCCGGGUUCAGGGCCAGGGCCUCCUUGGAAUAAAUGGUUAUUGUUACUAGGUCCCCACCUUCCCUCUUUUCUGGAAGCCAAAGUCACCGUCCCCAAUAAAGUCCUCACUGCC